rnacentral:rRNA from 1 species
AACGCGAAGAACCUUACCUGGGCUCGAAAUGUAGUGGACCGGGGUGGAAACAUCCCUUCCCCGCAAGGGGCCGCUAUAUAGGUGCUGCAUGGCUGUCGUCAGCUCGUGUCGUGAGAUGUUGGGUUAAGUCCCGCAACGAGCGCAACCCUUGUUACCAGUUGCUACCAUUUAGUUGAGCACUCUGGUGAGACCGCCUCGGAUAACGGGGAGGAAGGCGGGGAUGACGUCAAGUCCUCAUGGCCUUUAUGUCCAGGGCUACACACGUGCUACAAUGGCCGGUACAAACCGUCGCAAACCCGCGAGGGGGAGGCUAAUCGGAAAAAGCCGGCCUCAGUUCGGAUCGCAGUCUGCAACUCGACUGCGUGAAGCUGGAAUCGCUAGUAAUCGCGGAUCAGAACGCCGCGGUGAAUACGUUCCCGGGCCUUGUACACACCGAGACGAC